rnacentral:rRNA from 1 species
UACGGAGGAUCCGAGCGUUAUCCGGAUUUAUUGGGUUUAAAGGGUGCGUAGGUGGAUUGGUAAGUCGGCGGUGAAAUUUUGCAGCUUAACUGUAAAAGUGCCGUUGAUACUGUGAGGCUAGGAUUUGGUUGCUGUGGGUGGAAUGUGUGGUGUAGCGGUGAAAUGCUUAGAGAUCACACAGAAUAUCGAUUGCGAAGGCAGCUCACAAAGCCAAGAUUGACGCUGAGGCACGAAAGUGUGGGGAGUCAAACAGGAUUAGA